CCUACGGGGGGCAGCAGUGGGGAAUAUUGGACAAUGGGGGGAACCCUGAUCCAGCCAUGCCGCGUGUGUGAAGAAGGCCCUCGGGUUGUAAAGCACUUUCAGUGAGGAAGAACGCCUGGUGGUUAAUACCCAUCAGGAAAGACAUCACUCACAGAAGAAGCACCGGCUAACUCCGUGCCAGCAGCCGCGGUAAUACGGAGGGUGCGAGCGUUAAUCGGAAUUACUGGGCGUAAAGCGCGCGUAGGUGGCUUGAUAAGCCGGUUGUGAAAGCCCCGGGCUCAACCUGGGAACGGCAUCCGGAACUGUCGAGCUAGAGUGCAGGAGAGGAAGGUAGAAUUCCCGGUGUAGCGGUGAAAUGCGUAGAGAUCGGGAGGAAUACCAGUGGCGAAGGCGGCCUUCUGGACUGACACUGACACUGAGGUGCGAAAGCGUGGGUAGCAAACAGGAUUAGAUACCCGAGUAGUC
rnacentral:rRNA from 1 species